GAUGAACGCUGGCGGCGUGCCUAAUACAUGCAAGUCGAACGAAACUUCUUUAUCACCGAGUGCUUGCACUCACCGAUAAAGAGUUGAGUGGCGAACGGGUGAGUAACACGUGGGCAACCUGCCCAAAAGAGGGGGAUAACACUUGGAAACAGGUGCUAAUACCGCAUAACCAUAGUUACCGCAUGGUAACUAUGUAAAAGGUGGCUAUACUACCGCUUUUGGAUGGGCCCGCGGCGCAUUAGCUAGUUGGUAGGGUAAAGGCUUACCAAGGCAAUGAUGCGUAGCCGAAGUGAGAGGUUGAUCGGCCACAUUGGGGCUGAGACACGGCCCAAACUCCUACGGGAGGCAGCAGUAGGGAAUCGUCCAAAAUGGGCGAAAGCCUGAUGGAGCAACGCCGCGUGGGUGAAGAAGGUCUUCGGAUCGUAAAACCCUGUUGUUAGAGAAGAAAGUGCGUGAGAGUAACGGUUCACGUUUCGACGGUAUCUAACCAGAAAGCCACGGCUAACUACGU
rnacentral:rRNA from 1 species